CCAAUAGCGUAUAUUGAAGUUGUUGCAGUUAAAAAGCUCGUAGUUGAAUUUCGGGGUCAGCAGGUUGGUCGUGCCAAUGGUAUGCACUGGCCUUGCUGAUUCCUCCCUCUUGAUGAGCCGUAAUGUCAUUAAUUUGGUGUUGCGGGGAAUCAGGACUGUUACUUUGAAAAAAUUAGAGUGUUUAAAGCAGGCAAGCGCUUGAAUACAUUAGCAUGGAAUUAUGAAAUAGGACGUUUGAUCCUAUUUUGUUGGUUUCUAGGAUUGACGUAAUGAUUAAUAGGGAUAGUUGGGGGCAUUAGUAUUCAAUUGUCAGAGGUGAAAUUCUUGGAUUUAUUGAAGACUGACUACUGCGAAAGCAUUUGCCAAGGAUGUUUUCAUUAAUCAAGAACGAAAGUUAGGGGAUCGAAGACGAUCAGAUACCGUCGUAGUCUUAACCAUAAACUAUGCCGACUAGGGAUCGGAUGAUGUUAAUUUUUUAAUGACUCAUUCGGCGCCUUACG
rnacentral:rRNA from 1 species